rnacentral:rRNA from 1 species
AUUAGAUACCCGGGUAGUCCCAGCUGUAAACGAUGCGCGUUAGGUGUAUCGGUGACCACGAGUCACCGAGGUGCCGAAGGGAAACCGUGAAACGUGCCGCCUGGGAAGUACGGUCGCAAGGCUGAAACUUAAAGGAAUUGGCGGGGGAGCACCACAACAGGUGGAGCCUGCGGUUUAAUCGGACUCAACGCCGGGAAGCUCACCGGAUAAGACAGCUGAAUGAUAGCCGGGUUGAAGACUCUGCUUGACUAGCUGAGAGGAGGUGCAUGGC